rnacentral:rRNA from 1 species
UACGGAGGGUGCAAGCGUUGUCCGGAUUUAUUGGGUUUAAAGGGUGCGUAGGCGGCCUGUUAAGUCAGGGGUGAAAGACGGUAGCUCAACUAUCGCAGUGCCCUUGAUACUGAUGGGCUUGAAUGGACUAGAGGUAGGCGGAAUGAGACAAGUAGCGGUGAAAUGCAUAGAUAUGUCUCAGAACACCGAUUGCGAAGGCAGCUUACUAUGGUCUUAUUGACGCUGAGGCACGAAAGCGUGGGGAUCAAACGGG